rnacentral:rRNA from 1 species
ACGAACGCUGGCGGCGUGCCUAAUACAUGCAAGUCGAGCGGACGGAUGGGAGCUUGCUCCCAGACCGUCAGCGGCGGACGGGUGAGUAACACGUGGGCAACCUGCCUGUAAGACUGGGAUAACUCCGGGAAACCGGGGCUAAUACCGGAUAACUCUUUCCCUCACAUGAGGGAAAGCUGAAAGAUGGCAUCUCGCUAUCACUUACAGAUGGGCCCGCGGCGCAUUAGCUAGUUGGUGAGGUAACGGCUCGCCAAGGCGACGAUGCGUAGCCGACCUGAGAGGGUGAUCGGCUACACUGGGACUGAGACACGGCCCAGACUCCUACGGGAGGCAGCAGUAGGGAAUCUUCCGCAAUGGACGAAAGUCUGACGGAGCAACGCCGCGUGAGUGAUGAAGGUUUUCGGAUCGUAAAACUCUGUUGUCAGGGAAGAACAAGUACCGGAGUAACUGCCGGUACCUUGACGGUACCUGACCAGAAAGCCACGGCUAACUACGUG